rnacentral:rRNA from 1 species
UGAGCAAUCUGCCCUUCUCAUCGGAAUAAGCGUUGGAAACGACGUCUAAUGCCGAAUACGACCUCCUUUCGCAUGAUCGGAGGUGGAAAGCUCCGGCGGAGAAGGAUGAGCUCGCGGCCUAUCAGCUAGUUGGUGUGGGUAAUGGCCCACAAGGCGACGACGGGUAGCCGGCCUGAGGAGGGUGACCCGGCCACACUGGGACUGAGACACGGCCCAGACUUCCGUACGGGAGCAG